UGACACAUUUGUUCAGGGCGCCGUCCAU
rnacentral:sRNA from 1 species